AAUUAAUUUUAAGAAACUAUUUGUUAAUGUUUAAAGGCAUAGAAGUCAGGAAAGUUAAUCAAUUUUGUUCAGUUCAAUAUCCUCACAACUAAGAACAGUGCCUGACAUAUAGUAUACAUAUUUAAUAUGUACUGAUGAAUAUAGAAUAUUAAACCUUUUUCUUAUGUUAAGAAUGUUUUCUCUUAGCCUAUCAAUUUCUUUACAAGUCUCCAGCUAUAUAAUGAUUUUGUUGUAGAUGUUGAUGUUUUUAUGAGGAAAUAAAUAUCUAUUUUCUUUAUAAAAAAGAAAGAAAGCACAGCCAAGUCUCAGCAUGCCCAGUGCUAGCUCUGGGCAAAAUAGAAUUGUGCCAGGAGAAGCAGGCAGUAGACCUUCCCACUCUUUCAUUCUCUUGAACCCUUCCCAGGGCUUUUGAAGCCUGCCACUCUGACUCUUUGUCUAUCUUGGCAAUGUCUUCUAUCAGGGAAAUUCAGCUCUCAAUUAUUUUCACCUCGACAUAAAUGAAACAGCAGGGCAUGGUAAAAGCACAUGAAGGGGAGGAGCAAGGGGUCAAAAAAUAAAAAAUUUAAAUAUGAAAAGCACAUGAGCUUCAGCAUCAAAUGGACCCGAGUUCAAAUCCUGGCUCUUCCACACACCGUGAAGCAUUGAAAAAAGAACGCAGUAUCUCUUGAGUCUUGGAUCCUCCAUCAGCAAAAUAAAGAUAAUACCCAUCCUAUUGAUAUGUGCUUUAAUUAGCAGCAAUGUGUGUAAAGGUGCCCAGUGGAACAAUCACCCACAAGUGCUCCAUAAAUGUUUCCUCUCUCCUUCCUCAACUUUUUCCAGAGAUUUCCUCUUCAAAAUGCUUGUAAAUAUCAUCCAUUUAUCUCUAUUCAAGGAAUCAUAGCCAUCAGUAACAGAUGAGUUAUCUUUGAGACAAGGUAGGAUGCAGUUUGGCUUCAGGUCACCCCUGCUAGAACAUUCUUUCACACAUCCCCACUCAUCACAAAACCCACACCACUGCCUCACUGAUGCCAUGUUUAACCAUGCCUCUUACCUAAAAGAAUUCCAGAAACUGGCCUUAGAAAAUCCAAAUAUCAAACAAAGUCAUGGAGUGUUUCACCUAGGGAAGGAAUGCUAAACAACUGCCUUACAGCAUUGGUGCUCCUGGCCAGACCAUCAGGUGGUCCAUUACUUAAGAUAACCAUUGCAACCCGACCCCCAUGUCAAUUCCCACACUUUGCCUAAUCAAAGAUCCCUACUAGCUUUUUUUUUUGAGAAUCUGCCAGAGGAUCCUUGCACCUCCACUGUCUUCCUUGUGCUCAGACACAGGCCCUGAAAUAAAAGCCUUGUCUGGGACAUCUGCUUGGCCCCAUGUUAAUUUUCAUUACAUGAGAAGCCAAAAAGCCUGAGACCUAUAACAUCAUCAGCCCUUCCAAAGGCCAUCACACCACAUAAUGUCAGGGCUGGAAAACUGGCAGACAUAGGCUCUGUCCUUGGUGACUUUCAGGCAAAAUCCUACCCAUAGUUACAUUGUAUUCCAAGUAGGUUUUUCAAAUUUUUGAGUUUGAAUAAGUUUAGACGGGCUUCCUGAUCUCUAAAUCUCUAGUGCUCAUUUUUCUAAGCUCCUUUACCUGAUACUAGAAUUAGCUGAGGGAUUGACACAGGUGCCUUUGAAUAUUCCCUGCCUCUCAUUUCCUCCUCUCAGUUUCUGCUGUGAUCACUACAGCCUGGGUAUCUCUGAGGCUUCUGGGCCUUGACACUUGUGGAAGACUGAGAAUUGUCCUUCAAUAUCUGUUAUGACCUGAAUUAUGCCCCUUCAAAAUUCAUAUGUUAAAGUCCUAACCUCUGAUUCCACAGAAUGUGACUAUUUUUGAAGACAGUGUUUUAAAAGAGGCAAUUUGGUUAAAAAGAGGUAAUGAGAGUAAACCCUAAUCCAAUAUGACUGAUGUCCUUCUCAGAAGAGAAAAUUUGGACACAGACAUGCAUAGAAAAAGAAUGCCAUGUGAACAUGAAGACAGCCAAGAAAAGAGGCCUCUCAAGAAACCAACCUGCUGACCCCUGGAUCUUGGACUUCCCAGCCUCCAGAACUGUGAGAAAAUAAAUUUCUAUCGUUUAAGCCACUCAACCUGUAGUAUUUUGUUAUGGCAGCCCCAGCACACUAAUACAAUAUUCAUUCUCUCCUUCACUUUAGAAAUAGAGUUAUUUUAGUUAUAGCUAAGCAUAUGAAAGACUAAAUUUCCCAGCCUUCCUUGCAGUGGGGUUGGGCCAUAAAACAAAGUUGGAGCCAGCAGGAUGUGAGAUGUGAGCGGAAGCUGCAUGGCAGCUUCCAGGUCUUGCCUUUCAAGUGGAAGCUACUUGCACUCCGUGUGUCCCUUUGCCUCCCUCCUGCUGGCUGGGAGAUGACUACAAGCAGAGAAGCUUCCUUGGACAGGGGACAGGGAUGGAAACCACAUGUUGAAAAUGGUGGAGAGGUCUCCUCCAACCCUAGAUUACAGUCCUGUGUUCUCAAGGAGUUAAAUAAGAGAAACAUGUUAAAUCUACUGUGGUUGGGGCCUCUUUUUUUUUUUAUGGCAUCGUAUUAGUCUACCACUGGGCUAAUAUGGACAUUCUACCUCCAAUGCCCAGAUCCUCGAGUUCCAGGUUCCCUAGGAAUGCCUGGCUCUGGGAAGAACAGAGAGUCCCAGAGCUGAGCUCUAAGUGGAGACUCUCAGGGAUUGGCUGGAUGGAG
rnacentral:lncRNA from 10 species